GUUCAAGCUCUGCUGUUUUUUCCAGUGUUGCUCCUCCUCUUACUGCAGCUCUGCUUGUCAGUGUGUUUCCUCCCUCUGAUUUACAUGGAGCAAAUGAGGAGCCACACCUGACAGGUGGGAGGAGUAAGGUGUCACCACUUGGUCGUCAACUGCAGAGAGUCUUCAUACAAUGAAGAAGUUGAUUGAGACAGAGUGGUAAUUAUUUAUGUAAUUAAUACAUACAGUGCAUUCAGACAAUAUUCAGUUUAUUUAUUCACAUUUGUUAUGUUGCCACUUUAAGCUAAAAUUAAAAAAAAUAAUAAUAAUCGAACAUUAGAAGUUUUUGAAAUUGUUAAAAAGAAAAAACUGAUUGGAUCUGAUCUGAAAGACAAAAUAAAAAAUGUCAUAGACAUGUCAUAGUAUAGUAAGGUGGGCUGAAUACUAAGUAUGAAUACUUUCUGAAUGCCCUGUGCUUCAUGUUUGAACAAGUUACAGAAAAGGAAGAAUUACAACAAUACCAAUAAUUUGUUUCCUAACUCCAAGGAUAAGAAUGGCUGUGUUAAAUGUUGUUAAAAUUUUUUUACUCUCCGUUGAUGAGUGGUUCUGUCUCAUUACC